rnacentral:lncRNA from 10 species
GAAGAAGGUGCUUGUUUCUUCUUUGCCUUCUGCCAUGAUUGCCAUGUGAAUCGCACCCCUGGAACUGUGCAGGGCCCACCUGUGUGGCCACACGCAGUGACCCUGAGCAAAGGAGUGACCACAGAAGUGCAUGGCAAAGCAGAAAGGUGUGACGUCUUGGAGGACGCGGGAGGAAAGCACGCCCAGCGGACAGGAGCCAUCACGCGGCUGCGGGCUGCUGCUGAGAACCUGGCGUGGGCCACCGUCGUCAGCAGCGUGGAGGACACUUGUUAUUGCAGUCAGAGUCCAUCUGGAUAAUCCUGGAUAAAUCUCAUCUGGAGAUCCUUCACCAGAUCACAUCGGCAAUGACCUGUUCCCCAAAUAAGGCCCUGUGCACAGGUUCUGGGGUGCUAGGAGUGAGCCACCAUGCCUGGCCCAGUUUUUAAUGCUUGGACAUCUCCAAAAUCAGGACAUAUCUUGUAAUUGAAGACGUCUCACCAUAGCGGCCAGCCGUGCAACCACUGGGCCUGUCUGUGCCUGAACAACACACUGGCCUGCCUUUGCCUGAACAAGACAGCCUUAGUCUCAAAGCUUGCAGAUGGGUGUGGCCUGGUAGAAAAUUCUCAAGACAACGGCGGAGCACGCUUGCCCCUAGGAGACCAAGUGGCCGGAAUGUUGAGAAUCAGCCUUUCGCAGAAAUCCCCUAAGCGGGAGGCAGCAGGCUGACUCCAUCAGCCCCAGGCAGGCUUCUGGGCCCUGCAGCUAUGGCUCUUCAUCCUUUUACAUGUUCUUCGAGAAUCAGCUGCACCCUGGAUGCUUCUGACAGCUCAGAGGACAUCAGCAUGAGGACAAGCACAGGGCUUGAUGGCUCGGAGGGAAAUGGAGUUGGAAGAUUUGGACUUAAUGUGCACACAUUUUAGAAAUAUCUUAACAAAUUUUAUUUUGCUGAUAUCUUUCUUUUUUGUGUGUGCCAAAGUGAUGGCCAGUACAAAUCCAUGUCUAAUUAAGUCCAGAAGAGCUCCUUCAAUAAGCGUAAGAUGAAAGUUAUGAGUGAUAAGAAAGCGUCAUGUCAGUUUAAUUGGCAGCAUUUUCUCUUUCUUAGUGGUUCAUAAAAUAAGGCAGUGCUUUGCUAUCGACGG